AGAGGGGGUCAGCUUUUAUAGAGGGCUCGAGGAAAAUAGACAUGUGAUGGAGCACGCCGCAAUGGGAAUAUGGUUUAUAUUAAGAUUUCUAAAGCCAAAAGUGGUGGGAUUUUAAAUAUAAAUUAUUUCAAACAGCGUAACAAGGGCUUUGAAGUUUGACUCUUCCACCUCAAAUUCUGUGUCUUUCCCCUGUCCUCUCUCUGUUCUCCUCCGGGCGGAGGCUUUCUUCUCUUACUAGGACUCCUCUUGCUAUCAGGGAGGAUUGUUUAUGAGUGAGAAGAGUAGACCCGAUUUGGACUUCUUUUUUUUAUUUAUUUUUCAUUGCAUCCAUUUGGUGGCCGUAGCACCCGCCGGAGGCGCUAGAGUUUGGGAUGGUCGGUUUCCACAGUUUUGAGUUGAAAAAAUUGGGUACAGUGCAUUAGGAUGUUUUGUGAUUGGCUUGGAUUCUUCUGGCAUUUUAAGGAGGGGAUGCUCUUCCAUACGAGACAACCUUAGUCUACUUGUUUCUUUGUUAAUUAAUUAAAUCAUUCUAGGUAUACUAAUACAUGGAGUCAGACUUUUUUUUUAUAUAUAUACUGCAUUGAUGCAAGUUGCACCUAUGAGAUAAGCUGUAAAAUGUUUGUAUUGGCCAUUUAGCUGAACUACGAGAAAAGAAGUAAAACAAUACGUUGUAUCAAUGUUUCCACUAAAUCAUUUCUC
rnacentral:lncRNA from 1 species